rnacentral:rRNA from 1 species
AUUGAACGCUGGCGGCAUGCCUUACACAUGCAAGUCGAACGGUAACAGGUCUUCGGAUGCUGACGAGUGGCGAACGGGUGAGUAAUACAUCGGAACGUGCCUAGUAGUGGGGGAUAACUACUCGAAAGAGUGGCUAAUACCGCAUGAGAUCUACGGAUGAAAGCAGGGGAUCGCAAGACCUUGUGCUACUAGAGCGGCCGAUGGCAGAUUAGGUAGUUGGUGGGAUAAAAGCUUACCAAGCCGACGAUCUGUAGCUGGUCUGAGAGGACGAUCAGCCACACUGGAACUGAGACACGGCCCAGACUCCUACGGGAGGCAGCAGUGGGGAAUUUUGGACAAUGGGCGAAAGCCUGAUCCAGCAAUGCCGCGUGCAGGAUGACGGCCUUCGGGUUGUAAACUGCUUUUGUACGGAACGAAAAGCCACGGGUUAAUACCCUGGGGUCAUGACGGUACCGUAAGAAUAAGCACCGGCUAACUACGUGCCAGCAGCCGCGGUAA